AAACCAGCACCUCAAGUGGUCAGGAGGAUUAUUGGGCCUAAAGCAUCCGUAGCCUGUUCUAUGAGUUUCCGGUUAGAUCCACUAGCUCAACUAGUGGGCUGCCGAAAAUACUGUGGAACUAGGGAGUGGGAGAGGUAGACGGUACUCGGUAGGAAGGGGUAAAAUCCUUUGAUCUAUUGAUGACCACCUGUGGCGAAGGCGGUCUACCAGAACACGUUCGACGGUGAGGGAUGAAAGCUGGGGGAGCAAACCGGAUUAGAAACCCGGGUAGUCC
rnacentral:rRNA from 1 species